rfam:Helianthus annuus linkage group 17, whole genome shotgun sequence.
UACCUCGAUGGUUUCAGGCUGUGAAGCUUCGAUAGUAUCACGCAUAGCAGGGGAUAAGCCUUGGAGGUACUUCCUGAUAGUAUGCUCAGGAGUCGACAUGAGGUGAGGUACAAUGAAGCUAAGCUGCUUAAAAUGGGUGGUAUACUGAGGAGCAAAAGGAGGAAUCCGCCCGAUGAGGGGCUCGCAUCAGAUUAGCUAGUUGGUGAGGUAAUAGCUUACCAAGGAAAUGAUUAGUAGCUGGUCCGAGAGGAUGAUCAGCCACACUGGGACUGAGACACGGCCCAGACUCCUAUGGGAGGCAGCAGUGGGGAAUGUUCCGCAAUGGGCAAAAGCCUGACGGAGUAAUGACGUGUGGAGGUAGAAGGCCCACGGGUCGUGAACUUCUUUUCCCGAAGAAGAAACAAUGACGGUAUUAGGGGAAUAAGCAUCGGCUAAUUCUGUGCUAGCAGCCGCGGUAAUACAGAGGAUACAAGCAUUAUCCGGAAUGAUUGGGCGUAAAGCGUCUGUAGGUGGCUUUUUAAGUCCGCCGUCAAAUCCCAGGGCUCAACUCUGGACAGGCGAUGGAAACUACCAAGCUGGAGUAUGGUAGGGGCAGAGGGAAUUUCCGGUGGAAUGGUGAAAUGCGCAGAGAUCGGAAAGAACACAACGAUGAAAGCACUCUACUGGGUCGACACUAACACAGAGAGACGAAAGCUAGGGGAGCGAAUGGGAUUAGAUACCCCAGUAGUCCUAGCCGUAAACAUUCGACUAGCAUGUGUUAAGCAUAUAGCUAGCGUUCCUUCUGUGCCAGGAUCAAACUCUUCUUUU